AAGAAGAGCAGGUGCGUGGAAGUGGGUGGAAUUGCCGCAGAUGGUCCAGCGGGCUAUUGCAAGGAUUCUGGAAGCUGCGGGAAUUAUUUGAGGACACUUGAAGCACACCUACUACAUUCUUCUGCUGGCGUUAUUCCAGUUUAAAGAAAGCUUGGGGUCUUGCUGUGUUGACCAAGUUGGAGUGCAGUGGCAUGAUCUCAGCUCAUUGCAACCUCUGCCUCCUGAGUUCAAGCAUUCUCCUCUCUCAGCCUCCCAAGUAGCUGGGACUACAGGCAUGUACCACCACACCUGGGUAAUUUUUGUAAUUUUUUAGUAGAAAUGGGGUUUCACCAUGUUGACCAGGCUGGCCUUGAACUCUUGACCUCAAGUGAUCCACCCACUUCGGCCUCCCGAAGUGCUGGGAUUACAGGCGUGAGCCACCACAUCUAGCUGACAAUUCUUUUAUAAUAUUUAAUUAUAUAGAAUAAAGGGAGAGAAAUAGUGAGGGGGGAUAUGGAAAUGAGUUUUACUUUUCCUCCCAAAGUGGAAGAAAAUAACAACAAUCUGUGAACAUGUUUAAAUGCUGAUGGGAAGGAACUGGUAGAGAAGGAGAGCUGAAUGUGGGGAACUGGAAAUUAUUCCUUGAAUCUGUUCUUCCUUUCUGUCAUAGUAAAAGAGUUUUAGUUAGGCACCUGGCCAUCCAGCUAGAAACUACAUUUCCCAAACUCCUUGCAACUAAUGGUCUGAAUAGUGACUAGGUUCCCCUAGUAAUGCACUCUCUUGGUAUGCUGGAAGGCAGAAUGAGGUAUCCAGCACAGUUGUGGUCUUCCGGUGGAAUGCUAGGGUUCAGCAUUCAGAAACUUGUGGCAGUGGCUUUUAAAUUUGUCUCUUUAAAGCCCUGUUAUUAGCAACCAGCUCUGCUACUACCUAGCAGGAGGUUUGGAGAACACCUCUUCACCAAGCACUGGGGAAGGGGCCUUCCUUGGUAGCUGUCCUCUGACUUCCAGAGAAGACAAUGGAAAUGCUGCAAAAAUGGCAUGUCCCAAUUACAACGAGAAAAUGGGAUUCCAGAGAGGUAGAGGGUAGGUGGGAGUUGUUAAUAGACAAAGACAAAUUUAUGUGCAGUUAGCACAAUGCAUCAUGGAGAAGGAAUGGUCAUAGGAGUGUUUUGACAUGAAAUCAAGGGGCAGCUUACUGAGGUCCACUGAGUAGACCUAGACCUCUAGGACUACUGGGCAGAAACAAACUAGACACCAUGUUAGGAUUCAUGGCUUCCUACCAGAGUCUCAGAACUCAGCCAGUGGACGGAUGAAGCCCCUCAACAGAGA
rnacentral:lncRNA from 10 species